CCUCAGUGAUGAACAAUUCAAGAUGACGAGUCUGAUUGAAAUCCAUUCUUAACAACUGUGAUGUCAAUUCGAGGCAUUUGUCUGAGAGGA
rnacentral:snoRNA from 1 species